rnacentral:rRNA from 1 species
UACGGGGGGAGCAAGCGUUGUUCGGAUUUACUGGGCGUAAAGGGCGCGUAGGCGGUCACUACAAGUCAGUUGUGAAAUCUCUGGGCUUAACUCAGAACGGUCAACUGAUACUGUCGGACUAGAGUGCAGAAGGGGCAACUGGAAUUCUCGGUGUAGCGGUGAAAUGCGUAGAUAUCGAGAGGAACACCUGCGGCGAAGGCGGGUUGCUGGGACGGUACUGACGCUGAGACGCGAAAGCGUGGGGAGCGAACAGG